rnacentral:rRNA from 1 species
CAGCAGCCGCGGUAACACGGAGGGAGCUAGCGUUGUUCGGAAUUACUGGGCGUAAAGCGCACGUAGGCGGUCAUUCAAGUCAGAGGUGAAAGCCCGGGGCUCAACCCCGGAACUGCCUUUGAAACUAGAUGACUAGAAUCUUGGAGAGGUCAGUGGAAUUCCGAGUGUAGAGGUGAAAUUCGUAGAUAUUCGGAAGAACACCAGUGGCGAAGGCGACUGACUGGACAAGUAUUGACGCUGAGGUGCGAAAGCGUGGGGAGCAAACAGGAUUAGAUACCCCGGUAGUCCCGUCUCUUAUACA